GGGUUGUGAGGUUAAGCGACUAAGCGUACACGGUGGAUGCCCUGGCAGUCAGAGGCGAUGAAGGACGUGCUAAUCUGCGAAAAGCGUCGGUAAGGUGAUAUGAACCGUUAUAACCGGCGAUGUCCGAAUGGGGAAACCCAGUGCAAUUCGUUGCACUAUCGUUAACUGAAUACAUAGGUUAACGAGGCGAACCGGGGGAACUGAAACAUCUAAGUACCCCGAGGAAAAGAAAUCAACCGAGAUUCCCCCAGUAGCGGCGAGCGAACGGGGAGCAGCCCAGAGUCUGAAUCAGCUUGUGUGUUAGUGGAACGGUCUGGAAAGUCCGACGGUACAGGGUGAUAGUCCCGUACACCAAAAUGCACAGGUUGUGAACUCGAAGAGUAGGGCGGGACACGUGGUAUCCUGUCUGAAUAUGGGGGGACCAUCCUCCAAGGCUAAAUACUCCUGACUGACCGAUAGUGAACCAGUACCGUGAGGGAAAGGCGAAAAGAACCCCGGCGAGGGGAGUGAAAAAGAACCUGAAACCGUGUACGUACAAGCAGUGGGAGCACCUUCGGGUGUGACUGCGUACCUUUUGUAUAAUGGGUCAGCGACUUAUAUUCUGUAGCAAGGUUAACCGUAUAGGGGAGCCGCAGGGAAACCGAGUCUUAACUGGGCGUUAAGUUGCAGGGUAUAGACCCGAAACCCGGUGAUCUAGCCAUGGGCAGGUUGAAGGUUGGGUAACACUAACUGGAGGACCGAACCGACUAAUGUUGAAAAAUUAGCGGAUGACUUGUGGCUGGGGGUGAAAGGCCAAUCAAACCGGGAGAUAGCUGGUUCUCCCCGAAAGCUAUUUAGGUAGCGCCUCGUGAAUUCAUCUUCGGGGGUAGAGCACUGUUUCGGCUAGGGGGUCAUCCCGACUUACCAACCCGAUGCAAACUACGAAUACCGAAGAAUGUUAUCACGGGAGACACACGGCGGGUGCUAACGUCCGUCGUGAAGAGGGAAACAACCCAGACCGCCAGCUAAGGUCCCAAAGUCAUGGUUAAGUGGGAAACGAUGUGGGAAGGCACAGACAGCCAGGAUGUUGGCUUAGAAGCAGCCAUCAUUUAAAGAAAGCGUAAUAGCUCACUGGUCGAGUCGGCCUGCGCGGAAGAUGUAACGGGGCUAAACCAUGCACCGAAGCUGCGGCAGCGACACUAUGUGUUGUUGGGUAGGGGAGCGUUCUGUAAGCCUGCGAAGGUGUGCUGUGAGGCAUGCUGGAGGUAUCAGAAGUGCGAAUGCUGACAUAAGUAACGAUAAAGCGGGUGAAAAGCCCGCUCGCCGGAAGACCAAGGGUUCCUGUCCAACGUUAAUCGGGGCAGGGUGAGUCGACCCCUAAGGCGAGGCCGAAAGGCGUAGUCGAUGGGAAACAGGUUAAUAUUCCUGUACUUGGUGUUACUGCGAAGGGGGGACGGAGAAGGCUAUGUUAGCCGGGCGACGGUUGUCCCGGUUUAAGCAUGUAGGCUGGUUAUCCAGGCAAAUCCGGAUAAUCAAGGCUGAGGUGUGAUGACGAGGCACUACGGUGCUGAAGUAACAAAUGCCCUGCUUCCAGGAAAAGCCUCUAAGCAUCAGGUAACAUCAAAUCGUACCCCAAACCGACACAGGUGGUCAGGUAGAGAAUACCAAGGCGCUUGAGAGAACUCGGGUGAAGGAACUAGGCAAAAUGGUGCCGUAACUUCGGGAGAAGGCACGCUGGUGUGUAGGUGAAGUCCCUGCGGAUGGAGCUGAGACCAGUCGAAGAUACCAGCUGGCUGCAACUGUUUAUUAAAAACACAGCACUGUGCAAACACGAAAGUGGACGUAUACGGUGUGACGCCUGCCCGGUGCCGGAAGGUUAAUUGAUGGGGUUAUCCGUAAGGAGAAGCUCUUGAUCGAAGCCCCGGUAAACGGCGGCCGUAACUAUAACGGUCCUAAGGUAGCGAAAUUCCUUGUCGGGUAAGUUCCGACCUGCACGAAUGGCGUAAUGAUGGCCAGGCUGUCUCCACCCGAGACUCAGUGAAAUUGAACUCGCUGUGAAGAUGCAGUGUACCCGCGGCAAGACGGAAAGACCCCGUGAACCUUUACUAUAGCUUGACACUGAACAUUGAGCCUUGAUGUGUAGGAUAGGUGGGAGGCUUUGAAGCGUGGACGCCAGUCUGCGUGGAGCCAACCUUGAAAUACCACCCUUUAAUGUUUGAUGUUCUAACGUUGGCCCCUUACCGGGGUUGCGGACAGUGUCUGGUGGGUAGUUUGACUGGGGCGGUCUCCUCCCAAAGCGUAACGGAGGAGCACGAAGGUUAGCUAAUCCUGGUCGGACAUCAGGAGGUUAGUGCAAUGGCAUAAGCUAGCUUGACUGCGAGCGUGACGGCGCGAGCAGGUGCGAAAGCAGGUCAUAGUGAUCCGGUGGUUCUGAAUGGAAGGGCCAUCGCUCAACGGAUAAAAGGUACUCCGGGGAUAACAGGCUGAUACCGCCCAAGAGUUCAUAUCGACGGCGGUGUUUGGCACCUCGAUGUCGGCUCAUCACAUCCUGGGGCUGAAGUAGGUCCCAAGGGUAUGGCUGUUCGCCAUUUAAAGUGGUACGCGAGCUGGGUUUAGAACGUCGUGAGACAGUUCGGUCCCUAUCUGCCGUGGGCGCUGGAGAAUUGAGGGGGGCUGCUCCUAGUACGAGAGGACCGGAGUGGACGCAUCACUGGUGUUCGGGUUGUCAUGCCAAUGGCACUGCCCGGUAGCUAAAUGCGGAAGAGAUAAGUGCUGAAAGCAUCUAAGCACGAAACUUGCCCCGAGAUGAGUUCUCCCUGAGACUUUAAGUCUCCUGAAGGAACGUUAAAGACGAUGACGUUGAUAGGCCGGGUGUGUAAGCGCAGCGAUGCGUUGAGCUAACCGGUACUAAUGAACCGUGAGGCUUAACCUUACAACGCCGAAG
rnacentral:rRNA from 1 species